GCGGCAGUAGUCUAGCUUGGUUAGGACACGAGCUUGCCAAGCUCGCGGCGCGGGUUCGAAUCCCGCCUGCCGCACCA
rnacentral:tRNA from 2 species